AUGGCCAUUUUUAUAUUUUAUUUCCAUGACAAGUUAAUUAAUUCACCUUUAUUAACAUGGAUUUACCUAAAUCCCCAUGACAAUUUUUUAACAUUUAUUGCCAUGGCAAGUUUUACUAUUUAUUUGCAAUGGCAAAUUUACCUUUUAUUAACAUGGCAAAUUUACCUAAAUCCACAUGGCCAUUUUUUAAUAUUUAUUGCCAUGCCAAGUUUUACUACUUAUUUUCCAUGGAAAAUUUACCUUUUAUUAACAUGGCAAAUUUACAAUCCCCAUGGCCAGUUUUUAAUUUUACUGUCAUGA
rnacentral:rRNA from 1 species